GUCUCAAAGAUUAAGCCAUGCAUGUCUAAGUAUAAAUCAUUUAUACAGGUGAAACUGCGAAUGGCUCAUUAAAUCAGUUAUAGUUUAUUUGAUAGUACAAUUACUACUUGGAUAACCGUGGUAAUUCUAGAGCUAAUACAUGCUAAAAGUCUCGACUUCUGGAAGGGACGUAUUUAUUAGAUAAAAACCAAUAAC
rnacentral:rRNA from 1 species